rnacentral:rRNA from 1 species
GUGGGGAAUAUUGGACAAUGGGCGAAAGCCUGAUCCAGCCAUGCCGCGUGUGUGAAGAAGGUCUUCGGAUUGUAAAGCACUUUAAGUUGGGAGGAAGGGCAGUAAGUUAAUACCUUGCUGUUUUGACGUUACCGACAGAAUAAGCACCGGCUAACUUCGUGCCAGCAGCCGCGGUAAUACGAAGGGUGCUAGCGUUAAUCGGAAUUACUGGGCGUAAAGCGCGCGUAGGUGGUUUUGUAAGUUGGAGGUGAAAUCCCCGGGCUCAACCUGGGAACUGCCUCCAAAACUGCAUGACUAGAGUACGGUAGAGGGUAGUGGAAUUUCCUGUGUAGCGGUGAAAUGCGUAGAUAUAGGAAGGAACACCAGUGGCGAAGGCGACUACCUGGACUGAUACUGACACUGAGGUGCGAAAGCGUGGGGAGCAAACAGGAUUAGAAACCCCAGUAGUCC